UUUCUACCUAUGCGCCUGAAUUCUCAAAUAUUAUGGUGGCUCACUAUGUAUUCCUGGGUGCCCUGGAUCUCUCUAUGUAGAAGAGGCUGGCCUUGCAUUCACAGAGAUCUGUCAGCCUCUGACUCCAGAGUGCUGGGACUGCAGGUGUGUCACACAACCCCAGUUGAUUUUCACAGUCUUGUUAGGUGUAUGAAAUGUCUUGUGACUGAGCCACUGUGAUGAGCACAGCAAUUGGCUGUGUUUUGCUACCCAGAUAGCACAGAGAGUAAAAGGCAAAGAAGGGCAGAGGAAGCACAUGUUUGUAAGAGCCCACUAGCAACCAGCCUAAGCUAUACAACAUCCCGUCUCAAAUCCAGCCAAGCAAACAAAUGUUAAUAAACAAAUAAAAUCCCAAAUCCGAAAAAAAAACAUAACUAACAAAAGAAUUCAAAGGUGAUGUGAUCUUCAGUUUGAAUUCAAGAGAAUACUUUGUUUUCCAGUUCCAUUUUUACUUGGAUCUUCAGUUUUAUUUGGUUUGGUUUUGUUUGUUCUGUUUUUCAGUUGUCUUUGAUUCUUUCAAAUGCAUUUGUGGUUUGAAUAUGCUUGACCCAUACCCAUUGGAAGUGGCAUUGUUGGGAAGUGUGACUUUGUUGGAGGGAGUGUGUCACCGUGGUGAUGGGCUUUGAGCACCUCCUACUAGCUGCUUGCAAGACAGUCUUCUCCUGUUUGCCUAUGGCAUUAGAAAUAGAACUCUCAGCUCCUUCAGCACCAUGCCUAAGUGGAGGCUGCCAUGUUUCUACCCAUGAUGAUAAUGGACUGAACCUCAGAACCUGUAAGGCAGCCCCCAAUUAAAUGUUCUUUAUAAGAAUUGCCUUGUUUAUAGUUUCUCUUCACAGCAAUGGAAACCCUACCUAAGACAGCAAUUAACAAAUGAUUGGUUUUAUGUAUUUUUGUGCUGUAAAAAGAGAAGCCUUUGAGCAGAAUGAUAGUGUGAAUACAGGAAACCUGGGAACAUCUUGAUUUGGCCUUCUCCCAGUAUACUUUCUCUAACCACACUUUCUCUAGGAAAGACGCAAACUAGGAGCAACACGGUUUAUUAAGAAUGAGGUUAUGGCUCUAAACUACCGUGCAGAGAGGUGUUGGCAGUGGGGGAGACAGAAAGGAAGAUCGAUUUUGUUAAGGCAAAAGGUAAAUUGCUUUCAUGUCAUUGGUGGGCUACCUGUCAGCGCCCACUCAGGAAUGAGCUGAAGAAUAACCACCAACCCACACACUCCCUGAAUACCAACAUUAUGUACUAGCAGACACAGAAGACACAAAGGGAGUGUCUUUAGCAAUUUUACUCCUUUCCAAUGUUAAACUGCACACCAGUUUCCAGACAGGGACAACUCUACACCUCUUGAAUUCUGCUGCCCUCAUACUCCAGGCUCUCGAGUCAAAUAUUUUCACAGAACUAUGCUCUAUUUUGCAUCAUGUACCCCAGCUUUAUCUCAUUCACAUGAUAUUCACACAGCAAAUCCUCCACUGAUAAUUGUCUCCUAUCUUGGCUUUCAGCCUUCACAUCAAAUCGCUAUCAUUCCAGCUUACUUAGACAUUCCUAAAUCGGUGUUGUGAUUUUCUUAUUUGAAACAACUUUAUGAUUUAGUCUUCCCUUAGGAUAAGGGUCCCAGGGUCUGUAAAAGCAUCCACUGGCUCAUUUGAUGUGACCUCUUCCACACUCACCUCCUUCUCAUUAUUCUCCAUGCACAGACUGCUCUAUCCAACUUAAUGCUUUUCUUCAAUUCCCCUCUCAUGGCCUGUCAUCUUAUUUCUAAGCUUUUUAGAAAAGCGCUUUGUUUGUUAAUAUUUUCCAUCAAUCUGUUCUCCACUCAGCUAGCUUCUUUAUUCUGUGUGCCCAGCUCUGGAGCAUUCGCAAAGUUUAUCAUUCUGGUUAAAGUUGGGAAGCCAUCCUGUGACACUCACUCUCUACCAUGUGUGAGUGUUUAGUAGGCUUCUUAGCAACUGAUUACUUACUAGAAGAGAUCCUUUCUCUACAAUUAGGUUUUGAAAUGAGCCUUCACAUAGCAAACACUUAAUAAAUAUAGUUGAAUGUAUCUCAAAUUUGAAUUCCAGAAAUGGACAGUUGUAAGUGGGGAGAUGGUGCAGUUGUAGGCAGGGAGAUGGUGUAAGAGCAUGUGUUACACAAGACAGAGGGCAUGAUCUUAAAUAAAGAACACUUAGGUCAAAAAGCAAGACAUAUAAACUAUAAUCUCAGUAUCAGUGGAAGGGAAAGACAGGUGGACCCCAAGAAUUUUGACUAUCAAGCCAGGCCAAAGUGAACUUUUCUUUCAGUGACCAACUUUGUCUCAAAGAGACAAAGAGUGUUAGGAAAAUAUAAUAUUCUGACUUAUUUAUGAAUAAUCACAAACAGAUAGACACAUUUGCAUGCAACAUGCACACACAUGUACACACACUCUACUGUAUCAAUUACUUAGUCAUAGUCUAAGAUACAUAUGUGGUGUACAUAUGUCCAGUUGUAGAAGUAAAUUGCUUGAGUUUAGACAGAAGUUUCUACAGUUGGUGAGAAAUGUUGGUGCUGUAGCCAUGUUUGACUAUUUUCAUUGUGUUUUCAAGGAUUUAUGAAGGAGCAGCCAGCUGGUAAUCUCUCUCUGCUUGUACCUAUGCUGACACUUUUAUGAAUAGCACUUGUGUCUUCAUUACCCAUAUCUUCCCAUUUCUAUUCACCCUACUCAGCAUGACAGGCCUGCUACCACCAUGCUUUACCCUUGGUAAUGGGAUCCCUGCCUGUCCUGACAAGACCAUGAGAAACUUUUCCUAUAUUUAUAUAAUGUACUCUGGACAUGCUAUUCUCCCACCACAGUGAAUUUUCUGAGCCUUCUCUGUCUUACUUGCUACUUAGUCUUCUACUCAGUGCAUCUCUUAGAUAUAACUCAUUUGAACCUUCGAAUCUGAACGCUUCUUCCUUCUAUCUUCUAUGACCCUUUUUCUAAACUUAAGAAAUACGCAUUUCUCAUUAUGAUUACUGCAAUAGCCUUUCAAAUUAAAAUUUCACAUUUUUUUUCUGGCAGUUAUUUUUCUAAAGUGGGUUGACGGUAUAAUAAUUCUUUUAAAACUUUUGAAAUCUGCCCUUUGCCUCAGGAGGUUAAUCCAUCACCUUCCUGGGAUCAGUAACAAGCUGGCCUCAGCCCAACUCUUUAGCCUUAAGUGCAGCCAACAUUUUCUCCCUGUCUAUGGUUCAUAAUUGUAUGCAUACAAUUACUUCUCUUUGAAGUCUCAAUACAAAUUUAACCUCCUAUAUUAUCUAUCUCCAACUUCCCAGAGUGGAAUUUAGUGCUUUUGUGAUAGCACCUUGUUCAAAUUUUAUUUAUGAUAUUCAUUCUUGUUUAAUAUGCUUGUUAGUUUUCCUAUUUGUAUCUAUUCUUCCUCCCAGGCAGAGAAUAAUUUCCUGAGGCCCAGAUUCUGAAGAUCCUGUCUGUCUUCCCAAUUCUAACACAAAGCCCUUUUUUGUUACUGACAAUUGGCUCCAGUUAGCAGAGUAAAAUAUUCUAUAUUUUUAUUUGUCAUUUUAUUCUGUGUUGCCCCUUAUUUUUUGAAAGAAUUGUGAUCUCAAAGAGUCCUCUAAGGGGAGAAAAAACCAACAACAUUAUUAUUAUAGUUUAUGCUUCACUCUUUAAAGGAUUCAAUGUUGAAACCACAACAAUGGUGGGAUAGUAACCAAGGUACCAUAAUCAUAUAAUGGACUGGACUGGCUAAUUGACAUGUACCUGGGAAACCAUGGGAACCAAGAAGAUGCAAAUGAGAAAGCACCAGCAAAUAAAUGCAUUAAUUGAAAUUCUAAUCAUGGCCACUGAGAGCAAACUGACACCAAGUUGCAUGGAAAUCAAGAGUAAGGAUAUACCCAGUGUCUAUUUCUCUGGUUGUAAAUCAGAACAGUGCAUCUGUGUGUGUGCUCUACCUACUUAUUCAUAUGACUGUGUAAUCAUGAACACGAGUGUGUACUCACACGUGUGUACUGGCACCAGAGAUUAGUGUCUGUGUGGUGUUUUCUUUUAUUGCUCUUGCCUUAGUGUCCUCAGGUUUCAGGGAUUUAGUUACACUGCAUAGCCACUGAACUCUGGGGAUCCUCCUGUCUUUGCACUCCUGUCCCCAGUUCUAGGGUUACAGUCAUACUUUAUUUGUGCUCUGGGGAUCCAAAUCAAGGUCCUCAUGCUUGCAGAAAAAGGACUUUUUGCCUGAGUACUCAUCCUACAUCCUAGCCACAAUCCACUGUAAUAUAUGAUAAUCAGAUGAUCAAUUAUGAAAAUUGCUUGAGA